GACGAACGCUGGCGGCGUGCCUAAUACAUGCAAGUCGAACGCAGUGGGGACGGGUGAGUAACACGUGGGUAACCUCCCAUCAGAGGGGAUAACACUUGGAAACAGGUGCUAAACCGAUACUGAUGGAUGGACCCGCGGUGAAUUAGCUAGUUGGGGAGGUAACGGCGCACCAAGGCCACGAUGCAUAGCCGACCGGGGAGGUUGAUCGGCCACACGGGGACGGAGACACGGCCCGAUAUCCUAGGGGAGGCAGCAGUAGGGAAUCUUCGGCAAUGGACGAAAGUCUGACCGAGCAACGCCACGUGAGUGAAGAAGGUUUUCGGAUCGAAAAACUCUGUUGUUAGAGAAGCGGUAUCUAACCAGAAAGCCACGGCUAACUACGGGCAAGCAGCCGCGGUAAUUC
rnacentral:rRNA from 1 species